AUCCAACUGACGAGUCCCAAAUAGGACAAAACGCGUGUGUCCUAGAU
rnacentral:hammerhead_ribozyme from 1 species